CUCACAUUGUGAGAGUUUGGUGUUGAGGCCACUGGUGGCCGAUGGCUUACAAGCGGAGGUCGUGUACUAAGUGAGGGGCAAAUAUUCCACUGACACCACAAGGAUCCCUGGCCCAGUGAGUGGAGUUUGAUAGCAAUCCUUGCUAUAAGU
rfam:Myotis davidii contig320750, whole genome shotgun sequence.